GAGGGAGGAGAGUGGUGGGGGGACACCGUAGGUGACAUGCAGGCUCCAUGACUCCCCCCAGGGCCUCCCGGGGAGGUUGCGGGCGGCGAGGGGUGCCUCCGGCCGCACGCCCAUUCUUGUCUACUGACCCGGUUGCCUCGGCGGGCCGCGCCUGCUGUGCUACAGCGGCCGUUCGGGGGGGACGCCUGAGGGGGACUCUUGUUUCCUAGGCCACGCCCCGGGCAGCGCUCGCCGGAGGAUUACUCUGGAAAACACACUCUUGAAAGAACAUACCGUCUGAGCGAGCAACGCAAAUCAGUUAAAACUUUCAACAACGGAUCUCUUGGUUCCGGCAUCGAUGAAGAACGCAGCGAAAUGCGAUAAGUAAUGUGAAUUGCAGAAUUCCGUGAAUCAUCGAAUCUUUGAACGCACAUUGCGCCCCCUGGCAUUCCGGGGGGCAUGCCUGUUCGAGCGUCAUUUCAACCCCUCAAGCCCGGCUUGUGUGAUGGACGACCGUCCCCCCUCCCCAGUAACCACCCACCGCUUAGGGGGGGUGGGAGGGAGGGGGACGCGCCCGAAAAGCAGUGGUCAGGCCGCGAUUCCGGCUCCUGGGCGAAUGGGACAUACCACCGCCUCCAGGACCGGCCGGCAGGCUGGCCUAACGCACCAUGUAUUAUUCAGGUUGACCUCGGAUCAGGUAAGGAUACCCGCUGAACUUAAUCAUAUCAGUAAGGCGAGAAGAAGUCCGCGGUUUUGAAAGCCCCAAGGUCACACAACGACUCCCCGCUUAAUGAAUGCGCCCCGCGGUU
rnacentral:rRNA from 1 species